rnacentral:rRNA from 1 species
AGUCGAACGCGAAAGUCCUCUUCGGAGGAUAAGUAGAGUGGCAGACGGGUGAGUAAUGCAUAGGUAAUCUACCCUUGAGUGGGGGACAACUUACCGAAAGGUGAGCUAAUCCCGCAUGACAUCGCGAUAUAUAGGUAUUGUGAUUAAAGGGGGGGAUCCCUUCGGGGACCUCUCGCUUGAGGAUGAGCUUAUGUCCUAUUAGCUUGUUGGUAGGGUAAUGGCCUACCAAGGCUCUGAUGGGUAGCCGAGCUGAGAGGCUGAUCGGCCACACUGGAACUGAUACACGGUCCAGACUCCUACGGGAGGCAGCAGUGGGGAAUUUUGCGCAAUGGGCGAAAGCCUGACGCAGCGACGCCGCGUGAGGGAUGAAGGUCUUCGUGAUCGUAAACCUCUGUCAGGAAGGAUUAAAUGUACAGGUGCCAAUAACAUUUGUACUUGACUUAACUUCCAGAGGAAGCCCCGGCUAACUACGUGCCAGCAGCCGCGGUAAUACGUAGGGGGCUAGCGUUACUCGGAU